GGAAUAUUGGACAAUGGGCGAAAGCCUGAUCCAGCCAUGCCGCGUGUGUGAAGAAGGUCUUCGGAUUGUAAAGCACUUUAAGUUGGGAGGAAGGGCAGUAAGCGAAUACCUUGCUGUUUUGACGUUACCGACCGAAUAAGCACCGGCUAACUCUGUGCCAGCAGCCGCGGUAAUACAGAGGGUGCGAGCGUUAAUCGGAAUUACUGGGCGUAAAGCGCGCGUAGGCGGCUUCGCAAGUCGGGUGUGAAAUCCCCAGGCUUAACCUGGGAACUGCAUUCGAGACUGCGUUGCUAGAGUAUGGGAGAGGGAAGUGGAAUUUCCGGUGUAGCGGUGAAAUGCGUAGAUAUCGGAAGGAACAUCAGUGGCGAAAGCGACUUCCUGGACCAAUACUGACGCUCAGGUGCGAAAGCGUGGGGAGCAAA
rnacentral:rRNA from 1 species